UGCAGGUGCAGUCCACCGAUGACACUUAGAGAAACACUGCCCUAGAUGUCAACCAGGGACUUCCCCAGUAGCUCCUGGAAUAGAAGCAGCAUUUAUUUUACUGGGUGGUAGGGCCAUUGAAGCACAGUCAUCGAACUGGGUUUGGGAGCAUGUGUUAUGAUUUUUAGUUGGGUUCGUACUUACUGUGCUCAGGCAAAAGUCAAUUUUCCAAUGCUGUCUUUAUCUUUGUUAAUGGCUGGAAGUGUUGUGGUUAUUAAACAGCUCCUCGAGAUCUGAUGGAAGCCCUGCUGCUGAAGACAGAGAGCUGUGUGGAGUCAGCAAUCCUUACUCAGAGGAGAAACAAGGAACAGGGCCACUGCCCAGGGCCGCGUUGCUGUCAGCGAGGAACUCUGGGGUCACACACACUUUCUCUCCCUCUUCCACAAGACACUACUGCUGUCAGCUCGGCCCUGCUGAUUCCUGAGUCCCCCUGCAUGGCACACUUAGUGUACUCCAUAGGGGCACUGUCUCUUGGCCUCUUCACAACUGGAGAAGCAGGUACUGUUAUUCUCCCCAUUUCAUAGAUGGAAAAUGAGGCUCCGAGAGACAAAGUGGUUUGUCAAGGGUCAGACGACCAGUAAGUGGCAGAGUUGGGAUUCAAACCCAGGUCCACAUGACUGUCAAACCACACUCUUAGCCACUAUUCUCCACUGCCUACCUCCUGUUCCUGCCUCUCCCUAAAGCCUCUAGACUCUGGGUCUGCCCAGAGCUGCUUGGAUAAAUUAGAAAGUCUAAUUUAGCAAUACUGCAGUUACCUAUGGCUGAAUUCCUGAUUGUUAAAUUCCAGAAACUGAUUUCUCCAGUACCUCUCCUCCCUGGAAAGUAAAGAAAGGCCUCCACCCACAGCACUAUACCCAGAGAAAUACUGUUUCUUCCUUCUUCUCACUUGGGAGAAUAUUCCAGGGGAGCUGAGUCUGAGGGCAAGAGAGGAAGGAGGGCCCCGGGGGCUGCUCAAGUUCCUCCUGUUUCAGGGAGGAGAAGAAAGAGAAGCAGCUUGCUUUCUGCUCUCAGGGGACUUGGGGACAAAGGGGAGUGAUCAAAAGGGGAUUUCCCACAGCCCCAAAAUGCUAGCCGGAUUGCACUUGUGACCUCUCCUUCCUGAGUGAAACUAGAUUGUUGACUUGCCUGCCACCUGUUUCCAACAUGGAGUAGAGAUGUUGCACAUACAUGAUGCCAUGUGUCCAGAUUAAGACAACAAAAAAUUAUAAACAAGGAUUGAAGAAAGUUGGAGGCAGCAAAUAUAUGGUCUGUAAGGGCUCAUACAGCAAGAGAUGUGACUAGAAGCCUCCUGGGAGCCAAGGCAGAAAGAAAAAAAAAAAAAACAUGCUCUGUCCUUAGGCUGGAGAGAGCAUUCCAGGUUAUCUGGGGAGAUUGUUCUACUUGACUCUAUAUUCUGGAAUAAUUCUCCUGAGGGACAGUACAGAGGUACUGAGAGGUGUUGGAAAAAUCCUUAGGGAGCUCACAGCCCAACAUUGGAGAAGAGCAUAGUGGGAGCGGGGACACUGGGAUGGCUUCUGGUCUGUGUGAACUGGUUCCUGAUGUUGGGGCAACACCUCCCAGUGUCCGAAGGCCUGAUCCUUGCUCACACCUGCCCAGCCACCUGAGAGCCCCUGAGAUGGAUUCAUCUGAUACCAGGAGCCUCUAGGACCCAGAAAUUUAACUGUCAAUCAAGAGGCAUGUGAGGGAAAGUCCAGCCCAGCCUGGGUGCCAGAAGGUCUGGAUUCCUGGUCUGCACAUUCCCUACAACUCUGGGCAGAGAUCUCAUAUGUACUUCUGGCUCAGCUACUAACUUAGCUGUGUGGCUUUAGGUGACCCACUUAACUUCUCUGAAUCUGUUUCUCCAUUUGUAAAAUAAAAGGUUUGGACUAGGGAAUCCCCAAAUUUCCUUUCAGUAUAAAAGUUCCAUGAUUACCAGUGACCUGCUCAAGGUUCAUUAUUUCCCUCAUGUUUAAAGCACAGAAUCUUGUCCACUUCAUAGGGAGGUGGUGAAAGUCUAUGCACAUGUGCUCAGUAAAUCUUAGGCCAACACAAAUGUCAGCUAUCAUCAUUAUUAUAAGAAUUCUUUAUGCAGCUCUUUCUUCAGAACAUGUUUUAUAUCUUUUACCAUUU
rnacentral:lncRNA from 1 species